UACGUAGGUGGCAAGCGUUGUCCGGAAUUAUUGGGCGUAAAGCGCGCGCAGGCGGUCCUUUAAGUCUGAUGUGAAAGCCCUCGGCUCAACCGAGGAGGGUCAUUGGAAACUGGAGGACUUGAGUGCAGAAGAGGAAAGUGGAAUUCCAAGUGUAGCGGUGAAAUGCGUAGAUAUCGAGAGGAACACCUGCGGCGAAGGCGGGUUGCUGGGCUGACACUGACGCUGAUGUGCGAAAGCUAGGGGAGCGAACGGG
rnacentral:rRNA from 1 species